rnacentral:rRNA from 1 species
GACGAACGCUGGCGGCGUGCUUAAACAAGGACAGUGAACCGGGUUUAGUAAACCAAAACCUUGGGGGGAGGUUACUAAAGAGAGGGGCGAAAGGGGGAGUAACGCGUGAGCAACCUGCCUAUGACAGGGGGAUAGGCCCGGGGAACCGGGAUUAAUACCGCAUAAAAAUGGAGAAACACAAGGUUUAAAGGUCAAAGAUUUAUCGGUCAUAGAUGGGCUCGCGUCUGAUUAGCUAGUUGGUGAGAUAACAGCCCACCAAGGCGACGAUCAGUAGCCGGUCUGAGAGGAUGAACGGCCACAUUGGAACUGAGACACGGUCCAAACUCCUACGGGAGGCAGCAGUGGGGAAUAUUGCACAAUGGGGGAAACCCUGAUGCAGCGACGCCGCGUGAACGAAGAAGGUAUUCGUAUCGUAAAGUUCUGUCCUAUGGGAAGAUAAUGACAGUACCAUAGAAGAAAGCUCCGGCUAAAUACGUG